CACAAUGCAGCCCUGAGAACCUCAGCUAACCGUGCUGUCAGAGCUUUCAGAUUUCAUGCUCCAAACCUGGCAGCCCUGGCUGUCUGGGGGUGCUUAUAACCCAGGCUGCACAGAAACUGAAAUUCACUGGGAAAAUUCUUCUUGACUGGAGUAACUUUUUGAGUUGUGUUUAAAAACUUAAGUCAUGUCUAUAUGUCAUGUGUCUGUAGCAUAGUCUAAGUAUACUAGAGCUAGGUCUAAACUACAUAGCUCAGGAAUUGCUAACAGUACAGCUAUGGAACCACUGGCUGACCCUCCAGUAACUAGCAUCUUCCUAGAUGAGCUUUACAGCCUGGUGCAAAACCAUGAAAUACUAACAGGUAUUUGACCAGCAAACUGAUAAGAAAACCACAAACUGCUUCAUCUUGACUGGAACUGUAUCUCUCGCUAAUUAACUCAGGAUGGCUAAACCAAGAAUACACCACACUUCCCAGGGAAGAUGAAACCUUGAAGUGUAAAGUGAAAAAUCUACACUCCCAUGAAACACACAGAACUGUUUUCUUUUCUCAUCCAUGUCCAUAUGGUACAACAAGCUUGGAUCCAAAACAUUUUCUCAUGAGUGACGGAAGAUGAACAAAAUUGUCCUGAUAUUGGCCUCACAGGAGAAAGAUGCAUGUGUCUUUUCAGACAGUCUGUCUACCAAUACCAUCCUGUGAGGGCGACUGCCAGGUGAACCACGGUUAGCUCUGCUGGGAGAGGCCAAGCCAGAGGAGAAUCCCAUUUGCUUUCAUGAAGGGCCAGCAGCAUGCACUGAGAGCCUGCUGUGGCUGAGGGGCUUGGAGUCAGCCAUGCUGUCCCGCCUCAGGCCUCAACCUGCUGCAGCUGAUUUGAGUGUUUGCUGUGCCCGAGGCCGUAACCUGCUGCUGCUGCCUUCAUCUUUUAUUUGCUAACUGCCUAAUGCCACCUGUCUACCUCACAUGAUACAGCAAUUGGGACCAGAUCGUCUUCACCACACAGAAAUUUGGAAAUAAAUUUCCCUCCCAGUGCGUUCAUAACUGCACUGAUACAAUAGUAAGGUCCUUCCUCGCAGAGCUGAAGGAGCACUGUACCAAACCUGUCAGGGCUCGAAUGGAACCGCUUUUAAUUCAAGUAUCUUCAGAAAGGUGGAAAGAUCAGUUCUGCAGCAUAUUAGGAGAGAGACAAAGGCUAAAUUACAUGCACCCCACUGACAAUUGAGCGAUGGGACUUCCUUCCUGACAACACUGUGUGGC